UACGGAGGGUGCGAGCGUUGUCCGGAUUUAUUGGGUUUAAAGGGCGCGUAGGCGGCCGCUUGCGUCGGAUGUGAAAGCCCGGGGCUCAACCCCGGAACGGCAUCCGAUACGGGGCGGCUCGAGACCGAGAGAGGUGAGUGGAAUACCCAGUGUAGAGGUGAAAUUCGUAAGAUAUUGGGUGGAACACCGGUGGCGAAAGCGGCUCACUGGCUCGGGUUCUGACGCUGAGGCGCGAAAGCGUGGGGAGCAAACAGG
rnacentral:rRNA from 1 species